GAUGAAAGCUGGCGGCAGGCUUAAUACAUGCAAGUCGAGGGGCAGCAUGAUUGUAGCAAUACAAUUGAUGGCGACCGGCAAACGGGUGCGGAACACGUACACAACCUUCCAAUAAGUGGGGAAUAGCCCAGAGAAAUUCGGAUUAAUACCCCGUAACAUAACGAUGUGGCAUCACAUUGUCAUUAUAGAUUUUUCGCUUAUUGAUGGGUGUGCGGCUGAUUAGAUAGUUGGCGGGGUAACGGCCCACCAAGUCUACGAUCAGUAGCUGAUGUGAGAGCAUGAUCAGCCACACGGGCACUGAGACACGGGCCCGACUCCUACGGGAGGCAGCAGUAAGGAAUAUUGGACAAUGGACGCAAGUCUGAUCCAGCCAUGCCGCGUGAAGGAUUAAGGUCCUCUGGAUUGUAAACUUCUUUUAUAAGGGACGAAAAAAGGCUUUUCUAAGUCGUCUGACGGUACCUUAUGAAUAAGCACCGGCUAACUCCGUGCCAGCAGCCGCGGUAACAC
rnacentral:rRNA from 1 species